GUAGCAUCAGUCAGGGACCCAGCUUCUCCCUUGCAGAGUUCCUGCCAGACUGCAGCGUAUCCCUGGGCACUCCCUCUGCACAGUGAGAGCACGAGAUGGACAGGGAGCAGGGGCCUGACCGCUGAGACCAUUGGACCGCUGCAGCAACAGGCCCACAAGGAGUGGAAGGAUUUCUUCCCCCUCACCCAUGCUGGGAUUACCUAGCAUCCCUCUUCUCCACUCAUUGCCCUGCAUUUUUGGUGGCUAGUGAUUUUUAAAAAAAUUUGGAACACUAAUAUUCCUGGGAAAUUUUAAAUUAA